GCAAACUUGGUCAUUUAGAGGAAGUAAAAGUCGUAACAAGGUUUCCGUAGGUGGUAAGUAGUGAUCCCCCGUCGCAGUAUCUCCACCGGGGGCUAACGUGAGUUCGCAGAACCUGCGGAAGGAUCAUUAUAGAGAAAAUAUGGAGCCCGGGUAACCGGAACUCCAGGGGGGCCCGUGGCGACACGGCACCCGAUUCUCAACCCUAUGCGUGUUGUACCUAUCGUUGCUUUGGCGGGCCCGAGGCGCUGCGUCUCGCGUUGGCUUCGGGCGAUGUGCGCCCGUCAAACGCCCAUGAAAUUCGAUUUUUGGGUGACGUCCGAGUGAGAAUUUAACAAACAAAACUUUCAACAACGGAUCUCUUGGUUCUGGCAUCGAUGAAGAACGCAGC
rnacentral:misc_RNA from 1 species